rnacentral:rRNA from 1 species
CAAUAGCGUAUAUUUAAGUUGUUGCAGUUAAAAAGCUCGUAGUUGGAUUUCGGGUGGGACGCAGCGGUCUCGCAUUGCGUUUGUACUGCUGCAGCCCUCCUUCUUGCCGGGGGCGGCCUCUCGGACUUCACUGUCUGGGGGUCAGAAUCGGCGAUGUUACUUUGAGUAAAUUAGAGUGUUCAAAGCAAGCUUACGCUCUGAAUAUAAUAGCAUGGGAUAACACGACAGGACUCUGGCCUAUCGUGUUGGUCUAUAGGACCAGAGUAAUGAUUAAGAGGGACAGUCGGGGGCAUUCGUAUUCUGUUGUCAGAGGUGAAAUUCUUGGAUUUACGGAAGACGAACAUCUGCGAAAGCAUUUGCCAAGGAUGUUUUCAUUGA